AGAAAAUUAUUGAAGGGAUCUGUCCUGCAAUCAAUGCAUGGAGAAGUACUUGCAUGGAAAAAAACGAUUCAAGAGAAACUGAAGUUUAUCCCAGCAGGAGUGCACACCAGACAGGAACUGACCUUGGGCAAAAUGUCUUCCUGUGGACUGGAACCACUUGAAGAAGGGGAAUGCCUUGAAUGUGACUCAUCAGAUCAUCAGACUAUUGUAAGAGAAUAACUUCUUACCAGGGCCAAGUGGUACACAAUAUUUUGACAGAAGAUAUGUAUUUAUAAAUAAAAGAC